UCAACAACGGAUCUCUUGGUUCUGGCAUCGAUGAAGAACGCAGCGAAAUGCGAUAAGUAAUGUGAAUUGCAGAAUUCAGUGAAUCAUCGAAUCUUUGAACGCACAUUGCGCCCAUUAGUAUUCUAGUGGGCAUGCCUGUUCGAGCGUCAUUUCAACCCUUAAGCCUAGCUUAGUGUUGGGAGACUGCCUAAUACGCAGCUCCUCAAAACCAGUGGCGGAGUCUGUUCGUGCUCUGAGCGUAGUAAUUUUUUAUCUCGCUUCUGCAAGCCGGCCAGACGACAGCCAUAAACCGCACCCUCUCGGGGGGCACUUUUUUAAUGGUUGACCUCGGAUCAGGUAGGAAUACCCGCUGAACUUAAGCAUAUCAAUAAGCGGAGGAAAAGAAACCAACAGGGAUUGCCCUAGUAACGGCGAGUGAAGCGGCAACAGCUCAAAUUUGAAAUCUGGCCUUCUGGGUCCGAAUUG
rnacentral:rRNA from 1 species